GGUCUGGUAAUUCAGUUGGUUAGAGUGCUGGUCUUAUGAGCUGGAGGUUGCGAGUUCAAGCCUCGCCGAGAUGA
rfam:Glycine soja cultivar W05 scaffold521_70, whole genome shotgun sequence.